ensembl:lncRNA
GUUUGACGGCUUGCGAUUUGGGCUACAGGGAGCUGGGGGACUGUUUGCACUGACCAGAGCGGCUCUGAGCACCCUGCAGAAGGCGGUUGCAACAGCGAGCAGUGAGUGAGGCUGCUGGUGGGCAGGCAAAAUGUGCAGGAACGGUGGAGGCCCAGAACCUGCAGUGGUAAAGAACCCACCUGCCAAGGCAGCAGACAUAAGAGACAUGGGUUUGAUCCCUGGGUCUGUAUGAUCUUCUGGAGGAGAAAAUGGCAACCUACUCCAGUAUUCUUGCCUGGAGAAUCCUAUGGACAGAGGGCCCUGGCUGACUACAGUCCAUGGAGUCAUAAAAACCCUGAGUGGAAAAGUCUGGAAAUGAUUGAAGAGGAGAGCAAGAUUUCAACUAAUUUCUCACCCUGUUACACCAAUCAAGCAUUUGAAUAAUUCCCAAAGCAGAAGCAGAGCAUGAGAAUGGUUGUCAAGGCUUUAUCGGAGGGAGAUUGGAAAUAGUUCACCAAGGAGACAUCUUCAUUGCUACGGGGCCUCUUUGGAAACUCUGGACAUCCACCCUUGGUAUAUCUCUUUUAGAUUUAAAGGGACAGUUUACUCAUCACUCAGCAGGUUCAGGUUGAGCAAAGAGUUUUUGUUAAUGAGAG